rnacentral:rRNA from 1 species
UACGGGGGGGGCAAGCGUUGUCCGGAAUCACUGGGCGUAAAGGGCGCGUAGGUGGCCCGACAAGUCACUGGUGAAAGCUCGACGCUCAACGUCGAGUCGGCCAGUGAUACUGUUGGGCUGGAGCACUGUAGAGGCUCAUGGAAUUCCGGGUGUAGCGGUGGAAUGCGUAGAGAUCCGGAAGAACACCGGUGGCGAAGGCGGUGAGCUGGGCAGUAGCUGACACUGAGGCGCGACAGCGUGGGGAGCAAACAGG